AUUCAGACAUUAUAAAAUGGUACUUAGAACAUAAAAUGAUGGAGAUGGAAGAGUACUUGGAACAGAGACUGCCAGAGCUGGGUGAGCCCUUAGAACCCGGGAGGUCAGAGCCGGGAGGGCCCUUAGAACCCGGGAGGUCAGAGCUGGGAGGGCCCUUAGAACCCAGGAGAUCAGAGCUGGGAGGGGGCUUAGAACCCGGGAGGUCAGAGCUGGGAGGGCCCUUAGAACCCAGGAUGUCAGAGCUGGGAGGGGGCUUAGAACCCGGGAGGUCUGAGCUGGGAGGGCCCUUAGAACCCGGGAGGUCAGAGCUGGGAGGGCCCUUAGAACCCGGGAGGUCAGAGCUGGGAGGGCCCUUAGAACCCAGGAGGUCAGAGCUGGGAGGGCCCUUAGAACCCAGGAGGUCAGAGCUGGGAGGGCCUUAGAACCCAGGAGGUCAGAGCCGGGAGGGCCCUUAGAACCCAGGAGGUCAGAGCAGGG